UGAGUACGAGAUGCUACGGCAUCGAAGCAGUCUAUGUCAUACUUCCAAGAAAAGCUUGCACUGUCAUAAACAAAGAAUGCCUGUACCAUAACCGACACAGGUGGGUAGGUAGAGUAUACUAAGGGGCGCGAGAUAACUCUCUCUAAGGAACUCGGCAAAAUGACUCCGUAACUUCGGGAGAAGGAGUGCCUUAUUUCUAAGGUUGCAAUAACAAGAUCCAAGCAACUGUUUACCAAAAACACAGGUCUCCGCUAAGUCGUAAGACGAUGUAUGGGGGCUGACGCCUGCCCAGUGCCAGAAGGUUAAAGAAGUUGGUUAGCAUUAGCGAAGCUGAUAACUGAAGCCCUGGUGAACGGCGGCCGUAACAAUAACGGUCCUAAGGUAGCGAAAUUCCUUGUCGGGUAAGUUCCGACCCGCACGAAAGGCGUAAUGAUUUGGAUACUGUCUCGGAGAGGGGCUCGGUGAAAUAGACUUGUCUGUGAAGAUGCGGACUACCUGCACCUGGACAGAAAGACCCUAUGAAGCUUUACUGUAACUUGAGAUUGAAAUUGGACUUUAUUUGCGCAGUAUAGGUGGGAGGCGUUGAGAAUAAUCUUGCGGGAUUGUUGGAGCCAUCAGUGAGAUACCACUCUUGUAAUGUUAGAUUUCUAACUUUGUAUCAUUAUCUGGUCAAAGAACAGUUUCAGGCGGGCAGUUUGACUGGGGCGGUCGCCUCCCAAAGGGUAACGGAGGCGCACAAAGGUUUCCUCUGAACGGGUAGAAAUCGUAUCUAGAGUGUAAAGGCAUAAGGAAGCUUGACUGUGAGACCUACAAGUCGAGCAGGGACGAAAGUCGGUCUUAGUGAUCUGACGGUGCUGAGUGGAAAGGCCGUCACUCAACGGAUAAAAGUUACUCUAGGAUAACAGGCUGAUCUCCCCCAAGAGUUCACAUCGACGGGGAGGUUUGGCACCUCGAUGUCGGCUCAUCGCAUCCUGGGGCGGUAGUCCGUCCCAAGGGUUGGGCUGUUCGCCCAUGAAAGCGGUACGCGAGCUGGGUUCAGAACGUCGUGAGACAGUUCGGUCCAUAUCCGGUGUAAGCGUUAGAAUAUUGAGAGGAGCCUUCUCUAGUACGAGAGGACCGAGAAGGACAUACCUCUGGUGUACCAGUUAUCGUGCCAACGGUAAACGCUGGGUAGCUAUGUAUGGAGUGGAUAACCGCUGAAAGCAUCUAAGUGGGAAGCCCACCUCAAGAUAAG
rnacentral:rRNA from 1 species